GACAGAGGUGGCGAGCGUUGUUCGGAAUUACUGGGCUUAAAGGGCGAGUAGGCGGUGGGACAAGUCUGAGGUGGAAUCCUAUGGCUUAACCAUAGAAUUGCCUUAGAAACUGUUUUACUUGAGUCAGUGAGGGGAGGGCAGAAUUCCUGGUGUAGCGGUGAAAUGCGUAGAUAUCAGGAGGAAGGCCGGUGGCGAAGGCGGCCCUCUGGUACUGUACUGACGCUGAGGCGCGAAAGCGUGGGGAGCAAAC
rnacentral:rRNA from 1 species